UACGUAGGUGGCGAGCGUUAUCCGGAAUUACUGGGCGUAAAGCGCACGCAGGUGGUUUUUCAAGUCUGGCGUGAAAUCUUUUGGCUUAACCAAGAGCGGUCGCUGGAGACUGAGAGACUUGAGGCGAUGAGAGGGAUGCAGAAUUCCAGGUGUAGUGGUGGAAUGCGUAGAUAUCUGGAGGAAUACCAGUGGCGAAAGCGGCAUCCUGGCAUCGAACUGACGCUCAUGUGCGAAAGCGUGGGGAGCGAAC
rnacentral:rRNA from 1 species